rnacentral:rRNA from 1 species
UACGGGGGGUGCGAGCGUUGUCCGGAAUCACUGGGCGUAAAGGGCGCGUAGGUGGCCUGAUAAGGGUGUGGUGAAAGUCCGGGGCUUAACCCCGGAUCUGCCGUGCCGACUCGUGGGCUGGAGCACUGUAGAGGCGGGUGGAAUUCCCGGUGUAGCAGUGAAAUGCGUAGAUAUCGGGAAGAACACCCGUGGCGAAGGCGGCACUCUGGGACGGUACUGGACGCUGAGACGCGAAAGCGUGGGGAGCGAACGAGGA